UGACCUGGUCACCCACGACGUAAAAGGCUUUCAAGUACGUGGGAGAAGAACUUCCCCCACCACACCCGACCCCACCCUCGCCCCAGGUCACCCGCGCGGGUGACAUAUGGCAACUGGGCUGGAUUUGGGAUGGGUUGGGUGUCAUAUGCUCGCCGCGACAACCCCAGACAUGCGACGGCCCCCGGCCGGGACUGCGAAUCCCGAUCGGGGGCCUGACCACCGAGGAAGAAGAAGCUUCCCG
rnacentral:ncRNA from 1 species